AAAAAUCAAACAACAAACAUAGCAAAUACUGCAAAUAGUUCACGUUCAAAGAGUACCUUCUCCGAAAAGUCAUUCAAUGGUUAACAUGUUUUGCGACAUUUAUUACAUAAGCGAAGAAAUGCAAAGGGUAGAUAAGAGUGGUUGACAAAAUUUAAAUUUGCAAUUAAGUGCAUGCUGGAAUUAUAUCCUUUCAGAUAAAUUGAAUUAACAACUUCUUCAAGUGUCAUCCUGCAUAUCAUGAAAUAUAAAGAUCCUGGCAACAUAAGUAAGCAACAAGAAGACGAUUGGCACUGGAGUUAUGGUUGAUGCAUUUUCCAUAGUGAAUGAUGAUUUUAUUUCAAUUCACUUAAAUUGUAUCUUUAUGGAAGUAGUGUCAACUACAACACAAGUCGUCUCAAACAUGACGGGUAAAGGAAUACUGACAGUGUCAGUAAGGCAUUACAAUGAUGUUUGCAUGAAUGGAAUGUUGUAAUGCUGUAACGAUAUUGAAGUCUCAUUUACUACAAAAGGUGAAAAACAACAAUCAAUACGGACGGCAGCUUUCAUCAAUGGGUAUUUGAAAAGUUUACAACAAUAUGUUUAUGGUUAUGAGUUAUUCUCUAUAUCAUUUGAAUAAUACACAGGAAGAAUGACGGAAUAUAAUUAUUGGUUUAAAUCGGACUAAAAUUCAAAUAUAAUCUGGAAUAUACGUACAUAUAGUGGAGGAAUCAGUUGCUGAUGAGGACGUAUUAUUGUGUUUCAUAUUGAAUGGAUUUAAUAUUCUAUACAGUUUGGAAUAUACAUAGACAUAGUGAAUGAAUAUCAUUAUUUAGUGUAUUUAAUUUUAAAUAUAUUUUGGAAUAUACUUAAAUAUAAUGCAGGAAAAUAUCAUUAUUGGUAACGACACAGCAAGAGGAAUACAGUUUCUCUUUUUAAGCUUUAAAAUACCAGGCCAUAAAUGGAGGGUAGGCGUAUGUAGUGAGCAAAAACACUUUUAUUAGAACCGUAUCUUUACAAUUUUACAGUUACUUUGAUGUAUAUUCCCGUUAGGUUUAAAGGAUGUGGAACGAAGAAACUCUUAAUGCACUUAAUGAAAUUCAGUAUAUGUGUACCUUUUUUAUUGUUAGCGUUUGCGUAAGUUUAACGAGUUGGAGAUAGAGUACAAAAUAUUCUAAAGGAUUUUAUAGAUAUAUUCCUCUUUGCAAUAAAUAUGCUUGCUGUA
rnacentral:lncRNA from 1 species